UCCCCGGAUAGCUCAACAGGAUAGAGCAAGUGCCUUCUAAGCACUAGGUCGCAGGUUCGAGUCCUGCUCCGGGGAU
rnacentral:tRNA from 1 species